UACGUAGGUGGCAAGCGUUGUCCGGAAUUAUUGGGCGUAAAGCGCGCGCAGGCGGUCCUUUAAGUCUGAUGUGAAAUCCCACGGCUCAACCGUGGAAGGUCAUUGGAAACUGGGGGACUUGAGUACAGAAGAGGAAAGCGGAAUUCCAAGUGUAGCGGUGAAAUGCGUAGAGAUUUGGAGGAACACCGGUGGCGAAGGCGGCAUCCUGGACCGGCAUUGACGCUGAGACACGAAAGCGUGGGGAGCAAACAGG
rnacentral:rRNA from 1 species